rnacentral:rRNA from 1 species
UACGGGGGGAGCAAGCGUUGUUCGGAUUUACUGGGCGUAAAGGGCGCGUAGGCGGUCAGCACAAGUCAGUUGUGAAAUCUCCGGGCUUAACUCGGAAAGGUCAACUGAUACUGUGCGACUAGAGUGCAGAAGGGGCAACUGGAAUUCUCGGUGUAGCGGUGAAAUGCGUAGAUAAUCGUAAGGAAGACCAGUGGCGAAGGCGGGGUCGUCUGGACAGUUCCUGACGCUGAGGCACGAAGGCCAGGGGAGCAAACGGG